CUGACGCAAGUUAUGCAACAUUUAGCGACCGGUUGAUAAGUAAAAUAUUUGUUGAAUUUGAUGGUGAGGGUAAUCGUUUAGUAUUUAAAUUCGCUUCUUGCUCCUAUUGAUUGCAAAGUCGACAGAAGUUACCAAAACCUUGACAAACAUCAACGAUUGUUUUAAAAGUCAACAAAGGAAAUCAAAAUGUCAAAAAUUAUUUUACUGUUAUCAAUAUUUACGUUAUUGAUUGGGCUUGUGGUGAAUGAAAAGAUUGACGAAGCUUGUUAUUAUAAACCAUGUCUUAGCAACAGCGGGUGCUGUGAAGGAUUUAACUGCUUUUUAAAUGGCCUCGAUGGGAGUUGUUGGCCAAAAUAAACAAUUGGUGGAAUUUCCAAUUCGUGGUUUCAAUAAUUUAAUUUCAACAUCUAUUAAAUUAUUCCUCCAAGUAAAAUUAUAUAAGACGCAUAAACACAUGAAUAAAUAGUAUUGCGCUAUCACAAUAAAAAAUGGUCAUUAUUGUGUAAUAUAUUUUUCCUUGUCACAGUUUGUUAAAAAAUUUUCUCAACUUUAGGAAUCAAUAACUUAGAUACUUAUGAAAAUUAAGAAAGGGGAUUGGGCUUGCUUUGAAAAUAAGACUUCUGGCUACAAUUUUUAUUGCAAGGAAAUCCGCCUAGGACCAAUAGAUUACAAGAUUAAAUUAAAUUAUAUUUAAACUUUGCGCUGAAAUUUUUAGCAUAGUCAUGAUUUUACAAAUAUAAACUAUUGCUGCCACGAGAAAGAAAAAAUUUAGGAAUAAAAAUCCGAAUUUCGAUCAUUUGUGAUAUUUUAAAAAUUCGUGAGAGACCUCUUGAAAAUAUUUUAUUGAGCCGAUUAUUGGAGAAGCUUCUCAAAACAUCGUAAACCCACAAAUUUUCAUGCGAGAUUGAAAAAUAAAAAUAGUCGGUUUUUUUGCGCCCCCCUAAUAUCGAUAUAGAUGGCAGAAAAAAAAAUUUACAGUUAUGGUAAAAAUUUAUUUUUGGAACUUUAAACAUCCAUAACGUGGAAAGCUAUUAGAAUUAAGACAUGCGGUUAGACUUAUUUUCAAAUCAACACUUUUUCCUUCAAUUUUUAGAGGUCAGAGUUUGAUCUAGAAUCAAAAGUUUCUGAGAUAUCGAUCUAUAUGGAUAGACUGUUGUGAGGGACAAAACAAAAUUUAUAAAAAUGUUCGAUUGUUUUAAUUUAAAAAAUAAAUUAUUUAAAAGCCUUGGAGAUUGAGACUAGAUAUUAUUCUCAAACUAUAAAGUCCAGUUUAUAACCGAUUUUUUUACCCCUUUAUUGAUUUACUUCCAAAUAAUAGAAGUAAAGAUAUCGAUCGUUUUUAAUCAAAAUUAACAUUCAAUGCAAAAAAAAAAAAUCGGUCUGUCAGUUGACCCUGCGGGCCAGCCCCAAAACUUCCCGCUGUUUUCGAGCUCGUUGAGCUCGAAAACAUUAUUGUGAAUACAUUUUCGAGCUCUUCGAGCUCGCAAAUACUUUUGUAUGCCAUUGUUUUGUAAAAAACCAUUUUUCAGCAUUUCUUUCUCCCACGAUAUCUCUUGAACGAAUGAACCGAUUUUGAUGGUUGAGGUGGCAUUCGACGCGGCUUAUAGAGUUUUAGAGCUGAUUAGAUUUUGGAAUCAAUCCAUCGAGCAAAUUAAAAGUUAUCCAAAUAAAACAUUUUUGAAAAAAUUUAUUUUCGAAAUAUCUCUGAACGCACCCUACCGAUUAAGUUCAAAUUCUUACGGCCUCAAGACAUUAACAAGCCGCGUCGAAUGACACCUUAACGAUCAAAAUCGGUUCAUCCGUUCAAGAGUUAUGAAUAUUUACAUACAUACAUACGUACGUACGUACGUACGUACGUACACACAUACAUACACUCGGACAUCAUCGUGAAAUUAGUCAGGAUAGCUUCCUAGGACCUCGAAACGUCGACAUCUGAUGGAAAUUCGAUUUUCGUAAAUCGGACCGAAACCAAUAACUUCCCGAAUUUAGGAAAAUUUACAAUUUUCUUAGCGGGGAGUUAAAAAUUAUAUUUUUUUUAUAACGUAAUUUGUUUUUUUUUAUAAUUACUUUGUACUUGAAAACUCGUGAUACCGAUAUUGACAAACAGCCGAUAAGUUCAGACAAUUUACUUAUCUUAUAAAAAUUCUACCUACAAAAUAAUCGUUCUGAAAUUGAUAACUUUUAUUUUCCGUCUCUGACGCAAGUUAUGCGACAAUUAGCGACCGGUUUAUAAGCAAAACAUUUGUUGAAUUUGAUGGUGAGGGUAAUCGUUAGGUAUUUAAAGUUCGCUUGCUGCUCCUACUGAUUACAAAGACGACAGAAGUUACCAAAACCUUGACAAACAUCAACGAUCGUUUCAAAAGUCAACAAAGGAAAUCAAAAUGUCAAAAAUUAUUUUACUGUUAUCAAUAUUUACGUUAUUGAUUGGGCUUGUGGUGAAUGAAAAGAUUGACAAAGCUUGUUGGGGUGAUCCAUGUUUUAGCAUGAAAGGGUGCUGCGAAGGAUUCUACUGCCGUUUUGAUAGCUACGAGAGGACUUGUUGGCCAAAAUAAACAAUUGGUGGAAUUUCCAAUUCGAGAUUUCAAUAAUUUAAUUUCAACAUCUAUCAAAUUAUUCCUCCAAGUAGAAUUAUGUAAGACGCAUAAACAAAUGAAUAAAUAGUAUUGCGCUAUCAAAAUAAAAAAUGGUCA